AACCAUCCAGCACGAAUAAAAAUCAUUAAUCAGUUGCUUAACAGCAUCUACCAGCUAAUUAGUCAGUAAUCAGCUAAGAUAAAAACAAAUCUGCACUAAAUCAACUGCUCUAGUAAAAGCCGAAAUAAUGCUGAUUACCAGCGUUCACUAGCAACACUGUCCUGAUUUUUUUUUCGAAAAUUGGCAACGCUGCUACCAUCGCAGCGAGAGUGAAAGAGAGCGAGCGAGGACAAAACAAAACUUUCGCUCACUCCAAGAGAAAACAAAUUAAAGUCAUGGCGGUUGAAAUCAGAUUGAAAAAAAUGCAACUGGAGUGUGUUUUUAUAUUCUGUUUUUGAAGCAUAAAAUCAUGUUUAUGGUGUUCAACGUGGGAGCUUUGUUAAGAAAAUAAUGGUCGUUUUGAGGACCUCCAGCAUCGGGCUUUGGCAGGUACAAAUUUACAACAAAUGGAUAUUCCGGAACGGAUCAAGUGAUUGGACGCCAGGACGCCGCGGACAUUGCAGGCUGGUUUUCCCCCUCAAUUUGUGUGUGGUGUUGAAAUAAGAUCAAUUAAUAAAUGUAUUUGAGCAUUAUUUUUGU